CUGACCCAAAAGCUCUUGGAAAAAAACUCUGCAAGAAGAGAAUUCUGCCAGUGUGAAGCCUGUAGCACUUGRGUCAAAAUGAGCAUUCAGGGAUCAGGUUGUCUAUGUUCCAUCUGCAGGCAAAGGAGAGAGAGGAGCAUUUCUAAAGCUGAUUCAUCUCAUCCUGACUCUUUAAUGCAGAAAAAUGAAAAUCAUGAUCCUGGACUCUGCUUUGGUGACUUGAUUUGACAUAUCCCAGUCUUUGUGAGAGAAGGCAAAGUGAAGAUGAAGUUCAUUAGACUCUCUCCUUUAACAGCCUAUUUCUGCUCAGAAGAUGGAGAAAAGAAGCUCUUCUAAUGUGUAUCAGAAUGMUCAUGCUCAAGCCAGACUUUUACAAUGUGUAGAAGUUUGGACUUUCUUUAUGACCUUUCUCUUGAUUAAGCUUCUGUGAUGGUAAUGAGAGAAUAAAUCACCGCUAUUAAUUAUGAAGUACAAGCUCAAAUGCUUCGCUUGUACAAGAGACGAGAAUGAGCACAGCCUAAUAAUGUUUCCUGUGCCUUGGAAAUACUGUGAGCUUCCACCAGGACUGCGUGCCCUGGCAGCAAACCUCUAUGGGGUGUGCUGUGCUGCUCCAUGAGGAGCCCACCUUUCCCUAUUUGCUGCUGGGGGCUGCAUUCACAUCUUGUGAUAACUUGGAAAAUGCACAGUGCCUUUAAAUGUGCUGUCACAGAUGGUUCCUUGGACAAGACUCCUGCCCUGGCUCACAAGCAGAGGAGAAAUUUAUGUUUYCUACAUUUUUCCUAUAGCUGCUCAGCAGAGGUUAGGAUGGAGCCCCAGGCAUGUUCUAAAGCUUCACUAAUGUUUUCCAUAUCUGCAGAAAUAGGGCCAAGUCCAAG